GAAUAUUGGACAAUGGGCGCAAGCCUGAUCCAGCCAUGCCGCGUGAGUGAUGAAGGCCUUAGGGUUGUAAAGCUCUUUCACCGGGGACGAUGAUGACGGUACCCGGCGAAGAAGCCCCGGCUAACUUCGUGCCCGCAGCCGCGGUAAUACGAAGGGGGCAAGCGUUGUUCGGAAUUACUGGGCGUAAAGGGCGCGUAGGCGGUCCGUUGCGUCAGGUGUGAAAUCCCCGGGCUCAACCUGGGAACUGCACUUGAUACGGGCGGGCUGGAAUCCGUGAGAGGUUGGUGGAAUUCCCAGUGUAGAGGUGAAAUUCGUAGAUAUUGGGAAGAACACCGGUGGCGAAGGCGGCCAACUGGCACGGUAUUGACGCUGAGGCGCGAAAGCGUGGGGAGCAAACAGG
rnacentral:rRNA from 1 species